AACCGCGGUUAAACGAGAGGCUCCAGUUGAUACACCACGGCGUAAAGGGUGGUUAAGGGAUAUAUAAAAUAAAGCCAAAUGGCCCUUUAGCUGUUAUACGCUUUUGGACGCUAGAAACCCAAACACGAAAGUAGCUUUAAUUACUUCCUGACCCCACGAAAGCUAAGAAA
rnacentral:rRNA from 1 species